rnacentral:rRNA from 1 species
UACGAAGGGGGCUAGCGUUGCUCGGAAUCACUGGGCGUAAAGGGUGCGUAGGCGGGUCUUUAAGUCAGGGGUGAAAUCCUGGAGCUCAACUCCAGAACUGCCUUUGAUACUGAGGAUCUUGAGUUCGGGAGAGGUGAGUGGAACUGCGAGUGUAGAGGUGAAAUUCGUAGAUAUUCGCAAGAACACCAGUGGCGAAGGCGACACACUGGCCCGUUACUGACGCUGAGGCGCGAAAGCGUGGGGAGCAAACAGG